rnacentral:rRNA from 1 species
AACUGCCUGAUGGAGGGGGAUAACUACUGGAAACGGUAGCUAAUACCGCAUAAUGUCGCAAGACCAAAGUGGGGGACCUUCGGGCCUCAUGCCAUCAGAUGUGCCCAGAUGGGAUUAGCUAGUAGGUGGGGUAACGGCUCACCUAGGCGACGAUCCCUAGCUGGUCUGAGAGGAUGACCAGCCACACUGGAACUGAGACACGGUCCAGACUCCUACGGGAGGCAGCCAGUGGGGAAUAUUGCACAAUGGGCGCAAGCCUGAUGCAGCCAUGCCGCGUGUGUGAAGAAGGCCUUCGGGUUGUAAAGCACUUUCAGCGGGGAGGAAGGCGUUAAGGUUAAUAACCUUGGCGAUUGACGUUACCCGCAGAAGAAGCACCGGCUAACUCCGUGCCAGCAGCCGCGGUAAUACGGAGGGUGCAAGCGUUAAUCGGAAUUACUGGGCGUAAAGCGCACGCAGGCGGUCUGUCAAGUCGGAUGUGAAAUCCCCGGGCUCAACCUGGGAACUGCAUUCGAAACUGGCAGGCUAGAGUCUUGUAGAGGGGGGUAGAAUUCCAGGUGUAGCGGUGAAAUGCGUAGAGAUCUGGAGGAAUACCGGUGGCGAAGGCGGCCCCCUGGACAAAGACUGACGCUCAGGUGCGAAAGCGUGGGGAGCAACAGGAUUAGAUACCCUGGUAGUCCACGCCGUAAACGAUGUCGAUUUGGAGGUUGUGCCCUUGAGGCGUGGCUUCCGGAGCUAACGCGUUAAUCGACCGCCUGGGGAGUACGGCCGC